AGGCAACAGGAAAGUUUGAGACUGAACAUCCCGUAUUGCUAUAGUAAGCACGCCUGUGAAAACUGAAAGCUAUUGCUUUUGUGCUGUCUUGUUCGUGGCAGGCUUAUUACAGCCUGUCUGACAUCAAUCACCAUGAAUUAUUCCACUGUAACAGACAUGAGUCCUACAACAGCGCUUCCUACUCAAACCAAUGACUCUGUCAUUAUUGGAGUUGUCAUCGUGGUUGUACUGCUAACGCUAGGUGUGCUGGGUUUCCUUCUGUACCGGUACUUUUGCCACAAUAAGGGUGCCUACAGAACCACAGGAGAACCUGCCCCAGGGGAGGACCCUGAUCAGGCCCACAGUGACACUUCAACAGAAGAAAAGAAAGAGUACUUCAUUUGAACAGAAUUGAAGGAUGAGAGGGAGGAACGUGAGCAGAACUGUGGGUGGGUUUUAACAAAAAUAUUCUGUCGGACUGACAGAAAAUGGGGAAAAUGACGACCAUCUAUCAUAUGUCUGUGGACUUGGAAGACCUCAUGAAACACUAUCGGUUAUAGCAGAUAAGCUGGGCAUGAGAUAAGACAAAUUGGUAAGAAGGGAGUAUGCAAAUUGAUAGAUGACAGGUAAGAGCUGUGUUUAACCACCACUGGUUGCAGAGAGGACAUCAUCAGUUUGUUGGUUCCAUCACAUAAAAAUGCCCUGACCUGUUUCAUCACAUCAUUCAAUUAGUCUCUGGAAACUCAGAAUAAAAAAAAAAUAUAUAUUUAAUGAGUAUCUAUCUGGGGCAAAAUGGGGAAUUGUGUUGAAUUGACCAAAUGGUUAAUACUAUAAGGAUUAUAUGGCAGCUUUUAUGUGAGCUAAACACUUUUUGUAACUUACUAUUACAAAUAGAAAACAUUUUGUGUUUGUAUGUUAUUGAAGUACUGUUUCUGCCAAUGUAGUAACUGUCAUGACUGACCUCAAUUUGAGAUGGCAGGUCAGUAAUGGCAAUAAAACGGAUUGUCUUUACAGCUAU